GGACUAUGCCACGCAGCAGCACCUGCAGGCUCCUCCAAGUUUUCUCAGCACCACAACUUGGGCACAGCACAGCAGUGCCAGAUGUGGGGAAAGCAGAAGUCUAAGAAGCAGACAAAAGGGUUGAGACCUGCAAGAGUUGGUGGCUAGUUCCUCAUGCUGGAAAGGAUGAUCUCUAUGUGAAAGCAUCAGGUUCAGGAACUCCAGGUUCUCUGUAGACACAAGGCUUUGGGAUUCCCCUCAGAGAAGGAGGGACGCAUCUCCAUCACUCGUGUGGAAAACAGCGUCUGGAUGAUUCUGAAGUAGCAGUAACUCAUAAUGAGCAGGGGGAGUAGGAAGCCAAGAAAAUUUGUUUCCACAUUGCGGAGCACAGGCCAGAUUUCCUGGAGGACCUCGGGGUAGUCACCAAGGCAUUCAUUUUCUUUCUGCUUUGUGAACAUGAACUGGGGUGCUGCCACCAAAAUGGCUGCUGCCCAAACGCCUAGGCUGAUGGUGACGCCAUGCUGCACGGUCCGGUUGUUCAUGGAGUUGGCGGCCAGGACGAUGGCCAGGUACCUAUCAAUGCUGAUGACGGUGAUGAAGAAUAUGCUUCCAAAAAAGCCGAUGAAGAAGAAGGCAGUAGUGAAUUUGCACAAGGCAUUGUGGAGGCCCUCUUCAUUUAUCAAAUAGUGGGUCCAGAAGGGCAAGGUGGCUACAAACAGCAGAUCAGACAAGGCCAGGUUCAGGAGGUAAAUGUCGGUGACACUCUUGGGCUUCUUGCUGUUGGUGAGGGCAAACACUACCAACAAAUUUCCCACCAGGCCAAUGGCAAAGACGACGGAGUAGAAUAUGGACAGGAACACAGUCCCAAAGGCCAUGAUGUCCCCAAUAUAACAGGCCUCAGCCAAAUCAUCGUACUCAAAGUUUGUCACUGAUUCAGGGAACUGAUCCAUGGUGACGGCCUGGAUCAGAAAGAAAAACAAGUAACUGUGUUAGUUAUCAGCGAAACAAAGUUGGAAUUCUGUAUGGCCUCAUAUGUAGGCAGGCAGGAAGAAACAAAUACUGGUUGGGUGCACACUACAUUUCCCAACUUCCCACUUGCCACCUUGUUUAAUCCCCACAACAGUCUUGUGAUGAAGACUGCAACAGACUCUUCUGACAGGAGAGGCAGACUACUUUGACUUGCCCAAAGCCAUGCAGUAAAUGGCUCCGUGAGCAUUUGGUUCUAGGCUUUCUUUUUUUUUUUUUUUAGAUGGAGUCUCACUGUGUCACCCAGGCUGGAGUGCAGUGGUGCAAUCUCAGCUCACUGCAACCUCUGCCCCCUGGGGUUCAAGCGAUUCUCCUGCCUCAGCCUCCCAAAUAGCUGGGAUUACAGGCGUGCAUUACCACGCCUGGCUAAUUUUUGUAUUUUUAGUAGAGAUGGGGUUUCAUCAUGUUAGCCAGGCUGGUCUCAAACUCCUGACCUCAGAUGAUCCACCCACCUCAGCCUCCCAAAAUGCUAGGAUUACAGGCGUGAGCCACAGGGCCCGGCCAGCUCGAGGCUUUUUGAAGCUUGAGACAGAUCUGUUUUUCUUUUACUGCCCAAAAUCUCUCCAAAAGCUAGCUAGUUUGACCAAUGUGUGGAUGAGAAAGGGAGAACCAUGAGCAGGAGGGGGAGGGGGGUGAGAUGGGGUGAAUUGGGGGUGCAGCUGUAAUUCACACUUCCAGUCCAAACUUCCCCAAAGCAAUUCUCCAUCCUCUUCCUUUAUUUCCACCUUUUCCACCCUCUGGCCCCUUACUUUUCCAUGAAGCUAGGCCUGGAGAGGGAAGCCUCAGACCCAGAGCCUUGAGCAGAACAGCACCUGGAAGCCCUCAUCUUUGUUUUUUGAGAACUCUUUCACUUCCUCUUCUCCUUAUAACCAACAAGUCCUUCUCUUUCUUAGCAGGUAUCAGACAGAGUCAUACACUCUAGAGUGACUACCUUGUUUUGGGUUGCCCGGGACUUUCCUGGUUUUAGCCCUGAAAGUCCCACCUAUUGGGAACCCCUCAGUCCCAGGCAAAUCAGGACCGUUGGUCAUCCUACAACCCUAAGUGAAGAGAAGGUGUUGCCAUCAUUCAGGGCUCUGCAGUCAUAGAGGAGCUGACUGAUCCAAGAUGGAGGAUGGGGCUCCGUUAGUCUGCUGGGCUAGGCUCCGGGUGACUAAUUCCCCCUACCAUUACCAGCCCUAUAGUUCACUUUGGUCUGGGCUUCCCCACUAUUCUUAUCUCCUGUUUCCUUCUGAGCAGGAAUUGAAAAAAGAAGACACUUCCACAGGCUGCACUCCCCUUCUUUUCGCAGCCAGGACUUGCUGCUCAUUCACUCCAGAGCCGGCUGGGAGGCAGCCCUUUCACACUGCUCCUCUGGGCGUCUCCUCGUGAUACCACAAAUGGCUGCCUCAGAAACCCUCAAAACAGACCUCCUGGUUGUCACUGCCUGCCUCCUUACCACAACUUACAGAAAAGCUCACGCUUUAACCGAGGGAGUUUCCACGCCCCGCUACACCCUUUCCAUGAUGGUUUUACCCAGGUGGUGUCUCACCAAGAUGAGGGCCCACCCAGCCAGGGUGUCACCUCUCCCUUCCCAGCCUCUGCUUUGGGGCCUGCAUCUCACCCAGACUCUCCUGGGAUAAGUGGGCCGCGGCUUUACGACCCAAGCUGUCUCAGGCUGUGAUGAGUUCUCAACCCCAGGGAACGUGUACGCUUUCUCUGCUUCAGGCUACCAUGCCCUUUUCUCAGAGAAUAAUCUCUGGCUGUGACAUUAAUUAAUAACAUUUAAGUCAAAUGGUAUAAAAUGGCUGACAUACAGCUAUUUUUGAGCCACAUCCAUGUCAGUUUCAUAUGACUCAAGCUAAUAUGUGGGAAACAGAAAUUGCUACUUAGUGCCUGUAGCUUGUCACAGAGCAUGAUCUUCCCAGACAAGCUGCUGUAUGAGUAAAAAUAGUCAAGUCCUUGGUGGUUCUAUGUUAGGGACUCUGGAGCUAGCUACUUUCUCCCUCCCCUUCCCCCAGUGAAAAGAGCUGGCAAAGCUGACCUCGAGAGGUGGCCAAAUCCAAUAAAAAUUGUCUCGCAUC